rnacentral:rRNA from 1 species
AGAUGAGUGGCGAACGGGUGAGUAAUACAUAGGUAACCUGCCCNUGUGCGGGGGAUAACAGGAGGAAACUCCUGCUAAUACCGCAUAGCCAUGAGCACCGCAUGGAGCUCAUGCCAAAUAUCCUUUCGGGGAUAGCGCAGGGAUGGACCUAUGGCGCAUUAGCUGGUUGGCGGGGCAACGGCCCACCAAGGCAACGAUGCGUAGCCGGCCUGAGAGGGCGGACGGCCACAUUGGGACUGAGACACGGCCCAGACUCCUACGGGAGGCAGCAGUAGGGAAUUUUCGGCAAUGGGGGAAACCCUGACCGAGCAACGCCGCGUGAGCGAAGAAGGCCUUCGGGUCGUAAAGCUCUGUUGUAAAGGAAGAACGGCGCAUACAGGAAAUGGUAUGCGAGUGACGGUACUUUACCAGAAAGCCACGGCUAACUACGUGCCAGCAGCCGCGGUAAUACGUAGGUGGCGAGCGUUAUCCGGAAUCAUUGGGCGUAAAGAGGGAGCAGGCGGCCGCAAGGGUCUGUGGUGAAAGACCGAAGCUAAACUUCGGUAAGCCAUGGAAACCGGGCGGCUAGAGUGCGGAAGAGGAUCGUGGAAUUCCAUGUGUAGCGGUGAAAUGCGUAGAUAUAUGGAGGAACACCAGUGGCGAAGGCGACGGUCUGGGCCGCAACUGACGCUCAUUCCCGAAAGCGUGGGGAGCA